GGUGCCGAGCUGAACGAUGCAAACUUAUCCAUGGCGGUGGCGACCUUGGGGGCUUUGCGCCUGUCGACGAUGGCGUCCUCCGGCGGAACAGGUGAUUACCUGAAACAGAUUCUCUUCCAACGGUUUCUCCUUCAGGAACAGCGACGGCGGCUCCCUCGGGCGUGCCUUCGACGUCGGGUGGCGGCCGCCGGUGAUCGGAAGCGGAGCGGGGAAGGUCGCGAGACAAAAAGAAGCUUCAAAUUAAUCACCGCGAUCCAAAGUUUUACGUAAAACCCCCUAAAUUGUAUCGCGAUUAUUCUCCGAGAUCCAAAUAUUUACACAAAACCCCCUAUAUUGGAUCGCGAUUAUCUCCGCGAUCCAAAUAAUUUACACAUAAACCCCUGUAUCGGAUCGCGAUUAUUGUCCGCGAUCCAAAUAUUUACACAAAACCCCUUCAUCGGAUCGCUAUUAUUCUCCACUAUCCAAAUAUUUACACAUAACCCCCUUAAUCGGAUCUAAAUCAUACGUUUUUCUUUCGAACUAGUCCCUCCUUUUCUCCUGGUCUCCUCGCUCUCUGCGCAUUCGCUGCCGGCGACAUGGACUUGCCAGAGAGCCGCAGCCAGCGCCCGGCGGUCAAGUGAAUCGGCGUGUCGCACUUCAACCCCAUCGUCCGUCUUCCCCCUUUUCCUCCGCCUAUGCUCUACCCCUUACCUCCUCCGCCUCCGGCCGCUUGGGGAUCUCAGUCUCAGGUGCGGACGGCCGCGGCGCCUCUGCGCGCGACCGACCUGUGGAUCCCCUGCUUGCGGUGACUCCACCAGAGUUAUAUCCUAGGGUGCCGCACCAUCGUGCUCGCAAGCGCCGCGGUGUUGCGCUCCUCACUCGCUACCUCGUGGCACACGGCCUGGCCGUCUUCUGCUUCGACGCCCAGUUUACUCAGAGAAAAACUUAAGAAAAGCUGGUGAAUCAAUGGGUUUCUUAAUGGUGAUGUUGAUAAUCAUGAUAUUUCCACUUAGAUUGCUUCAGCAAGCUAGGAAAAAAGGUUAUACGAGUAAGAGGGCAAGCUAGUAUGAAGUAUGAACAAAUAGUGGAUGAGAAAAGAGAGGUUCUGAGGAUGUUGCAUUCAAAUAAUCUAUAAGGUUGGGACCAUACACUUUUCCUUGUAAAAUUAUGUUAUGUGUUUUCCUAACAAAUUAUGAUAGUCAGAUUCCACCCUUGUGAGGAAUGUGCCACAGCAACACUUAAUUAUUAGUUAGUGUAUCACAUUCGAUAAUCAGUGCAUGUACGGAGCCAUAGGUCUAUUGUGAGCUUGUUGAGCUUAUUUAAUUGUUUGGCACAGACCAGCUAGCUGCUACUGAUAUCAUCACUACCUUCUGUGAUCGCUUAUUGUUUUUACCACCUGCCUUUCUUGAAAAUUUUCCAUCCUGCACCUGAAACGCUAUUGAAUCCUCGAUUAAGCUUACGUGUUGUUGAUAUCUAAUACUGUCUGUAUACACAGACAGACAGGUGCAGGUGCAACAGUACUGACUAAUGUCACAUUUGGAUACUAUUCAUACCCUCCUUUUACCGUGAUAAAUUUGGGUUAGCAUUAGUUGUAAAUAUUCCAAGCCGUGUACAUGCUAUUUCCUGUUCUGCUUGGGUAUUAAACAUUGACAGGUCUCAAUUGUCCACGCUGUUACAUCUUUAAGUUGUUUGUAUCCUGACUUGAUGGAGGGCAUGGCUCUUAGUUGUUAAAUGAGCUGUUCAUGCCCGAAUACUUGCAGUUGUUCCUAAUACUUGCCAGCAACCAAUUAUUGGAGUAGUAAUAACCAUUGUACAGAUUGUAAAGUUUUGGUCAAAUUUUUUGUUCUGUAGUAUGUCAUAUAUUUUGAUCGCUGUUGAGCUUCCAACUGAAGCCCUUUCAGAGGUGAGGCGAAGCGAAGCCAAACAAUAUUAACCGAUCCGGUGAUUCCUGUCAUGCUCUAGCUUCGCUAAUCAUAGACACUGCUCUCAAUAAAUAUGGUGAGAUUACUUGUAAAA